rnacentral:rRNA from 1 species
CCGGGUGAAGAUAAGACGGAUUAGCGGCGGACGGGUGAGUAACACGUGAGUAACCUGCCUUUUACACAGGGAUAGCCUCGGGAAACCGGGAUUAAAACCUGAUGAAACUAUCAAAUCACAUGAUUAAGAAAGUUAAAACUCCGGUGGUAAAAGAUGGACUCGCGUCCCAUUAGCUAGUUGGUGAAGGUAACGGCCCACCAAGGCAACGAUGGGUAGCCGGCCUGAGAGGGUGAACGGCCACAUUGGAACUGAGAAACGGUCCAAACUCCUACGGGAGGCAGCAGGC